rnacentral:rRNA from 1 species
GGGGGGGGGGGGGGGGGGGGGGGGGGGGGGGGGGGCGGGGGGGGGGGGGGGGUGGGGGGUGGGCGGGGGGGGGAGGGGGGAGUAACACGUGAGGAACCUGCGCUUGCCUUCGGGAGAACUUCAGGCAACUGGGGCUAAUACCGGAGAGGACUCCUUGCUGCCUGGUGGGGGUUGGCAAGCUUCGGCGGUUGUGGAUUGACUCGCGGCGUAUCAGCUUGUUGGGGGGGGCGUGGCUUACCCAGGCUUUGCCGGGUAGCCGGCCUGAGAGGGCGACCGGCCACAGUGGGACUGAGAUACGGCCCAGACUCCUACUGGCGGCAGCAGUGGGGAAUAUUGCACAAUGGGCGGCGGCCUGAUGCAGCAACGCCGCGUGCGGGAUGACGGCCUUCGGGUUGUAAACCGCUUUCAGCAGGGGCGAAGCUUGUGGUGACGGUACCGGCAGAAGAAGCACCGGCUAACUACGUG